CAGCCGCCGCGGUAAUACGUAGGGGGCGAGCGUUACCCGGAUUCACUGGGCGUAAAGGGGGUGUAGGCGGCUCGGUAAGUCGGGUUUGAAAUCCCACGGCUCAACCGUGGAAUUGCGCCCGAAACUGCCGAGCUUGGGGCCGGUAGAGGGAGACGGAACUGCCGGUGUAGGGGUGAAAUCCGUAGAUAUCGGCAGGAACGCCGGUGGGGAAGCCGGCCUCCUGGGCCGCGCCCGACGCUGAGGCCCGAAAGCUAGGGGAGCAAACCGGAUUAGAUACCCGGGUAGUCCUAGCCGUAAACGAUGCCCACUAGGUGUGGGGGAGUAUUUCCUCCGUGCUGUAGCUAACGCGUUAAGUGGGCCGCCUGGGGAGUACGCCCGCAAGGGUGAAACUUAAAGGAAUUGGCGGG
rnacentral:rRNA from 1 species